GUGUGAGAGCAUGGCCCGGCUCACUGGGACUGAGACACUGCCCAGACACCUACGGGUGGCUGCAGUCGAGAAUCUUCGGCAAUGGACGAAAGUCUGACCGAGCGACGCGCGUGCGGGAUGAAGGCUUCGGGUUGUAAACCGCUGUCAGUUGGGAGGAAAGGCCUGUGAAGAGCAGG
rnacentral:rRNA from 1 species